rnacentral:rRNA from 1 species
UACGUAGGGUGCAAGCGUUAAUCGGAAUUACUGGGCGUAAAGCGUGCGCAGGCGGUUAUGCAAGACAGAUGUGAAAUCCCCGGGCUCAACCUGGGAACUGCAUUUGUGACUGCAUAGCUAGAGUACGGUAGAGGGGGAUGGAAUUCCGCGUGUAGCAGUGAAAUGCGUAGAUAUGCGGAGGAACACCGAUGGCGAAGGCAAUCCCCUGGACCUGUACUAACGCUCAUGCACGAAAGCGUGGGGAGCAAACAGG